UUAACAGGCCGGGACGAUUUGAACGACAACUCCAGAAUUUGCGAAUUACAUUUUUCUGAACAACAAUUCGAAGCAAAGCGAGCAGAUGGAAGGAAACUAUUGCGGCCGAAAUUUUGUUAAUAAACUGGUAUUGCAAGGUU